AAAAUAUUGGAAAACUGCUAUCAUGUCACCCCUAAUCCUUAUAGCCAAUUCUUGCAAACAUUCUUUGUAUGUUUUAACUUCCGCUCCACUAAUCAUUUUUGCUGCUCUUCCCUGCACUUUUUCCAGAGUCUCAACUUCUUUUUUAUAAUACAUCAGUUUUGGUCACCACAAUAUAAAACUCUUGAGUGCAAUAAAGCAUAAGGUAAGCUGAGAUUUUCCCCAGCCACCUUGCUUACAAAUAAUCAUUGGCUGCAUAAAGCUUUCAAAAAGAAGAGGCUGGAGGAAGCUUUGUGUACUGAUUCCUCCUCAUUGGCAUGUUCAAAUGCGACCCACCAACUUCGAUCCAGUAAAACUGCAUCAAAUUGAACCUCAUCAAACUGCUGCUCUGGGUAGAAAAUGCGACUUCAUCCCUGAGACAAGGAAGGCUGACUUUCAAGUGCUCCAGGGGUGGGCAGUCUGAGAUGGACAUCAUGAGACCACCGGAGAAGAAAGCUGGGCCUGGCUGGAUGUCUUUGGUGAAAAGUCUGAAGAGAAAGCAAUCCUAUGCAAGGCCUGGCCUUUCACUCACAGCAGCAGCAGCAAAAGACAAGUUGCUGUGCAGGUGGGAAAAGAGGAUGGGACACCCCUCUUUUGACACAUCAAAGUUCAUCUCUCCCUGACAAGGUUUAAGGAAAUUGCAGGGUGUGUGUGUGUGUGUGUGUGUGUGUGUGUGUGUGUGUGUGUGUGUAAAAAGAAAGCAUAGUGAAUUGUGAAUGGAAAAACGGCUGUUGUGACAACUUGUCAAGAGAAGUGUGCAGUAGCUGCUCCAGUUCUGGUUCCCAAGGAAGCCAGCCAAGCCUCCCAAAGGGCUCAGGCCCUUGAUGUCUUAGGAGCUACCGGAGGUUCACACUGACAUACCAGCCAGGCAGGCAGUGGCCUCGGCUCUUUUGGGCUCUUUUGGGCGUGAGGGCAUUCCUCUGCAUCUCGAAAAAGGGCUGGGUGGGCCUGGAAGGGUC